AUGGCAGUAUCCAAAGUUCACAUUUUGAUAAAGAAAAUACCGCGCAACGCACUCAAGGAGGAAAUACAUUCUGAAAGUGUUAAACAAGAACCGAAUAAUUGUGAAGUGGAAAGUCCGGAUAGUGCCGCUCCAAAAAACAAUGGUAAGUUAAGUACUCAGUUAGUGUCAGCAUCCGCCGCCAGAGAAAGACAAAGUAAGAACAUGCAAGGAUCAAAAAGUAAGGUACCGAUAAUUUAUAUCUAUCCGUCCCAGGCAGCCAGCGAUUGCCGGGAAUCUGCAAGCAGCAUGCGUGUUAACUCGUCAAAUUAAAAUACUCUUAUCGAUCAAGAAAACCUAUAAUUGAUAAAGAACUUCAUAAGUACGAUCUCGUAACGCAUUAUAGCGCCUUCAAAUUUUGGUGAUACUCUUCGCUUUACCACGGCGUUAGUUUAGUUGCCUAUCCGAGCCAAAGAGAGCUAAAUUCAUUGAUCUCACAAGUCAAAACAUGCCGUCGCAAGUUUACCGGCUAGUACCAUGUAUUGAAGAAGAAGAAGAAACGUCUGUGUGCAUUCCAAGAACACACAUUAUUUAUUCUAUACGAAUAUGGAUUUAAAUUUACCGACGGUUUCUGUUUGCCUGCGACAUAUCCACCAUUCACCAGCUUUAUCGCUCCUCAAAUUUGGCUUAUUCCUUAAGCACACUUAGGAAAAACUUUAAAAGCACGAACUUUUUACAAAAUACUAAAUCAGGAACAUAUUUGGACUUAUUUCUGCCAAAUGGAACUAUGUGCAUUAAUACAUGAGCCCUGAGACCCAUAAGAAUGUAUGCAUAACAGGGCUCUCGUCAUGAAAUACGUCCAUUUCAACAUGACCAACGUGCAUCGUAUCGUUCUCUCGACUCAUAUCGAAAAUCUCGAAUAUCUCGAAUCAUUUCUCCUUCUUUUCCUUUUUUUGGGAGAAAAUCGAAAGUGAGAGGGAUUCCUCAUUUUUCACGUAUGCAGUUUUGUAGCUCAACUUCUAAUAAUCACAUUGAAUUAAAAAAAAAAAAAAAAUUCAACACCACUGAAUACGAAAGGAGGACGAAAAAAUUCCCAUUCUGAAGAAAAGUCGUUUUUUGUACUCUCUGAAUUCAAAAGACACCUUCCUCAAUGCUAUUCUCUUACGUUGGUUUUUAGGAAAACAUAAUUUUUCUCAGGGAAUCUUGCUGUUUUGAGACGAAAAAGAAGAGUUUCCAACAAGGAGUACUUAGAGAGAAACCAUCUACGGACUCAGAAAGAAAAGGUUAUUGAAAAUACCCCGUUUCAUCUUUCGCUCUUAGUUUAUCUCCUCUUUUAUAACAUAGGAUACAUCGCACAACUAAAACCUGAUGUGUAGGCUUGCGAUAGUAUUUUUGCACGCUCUCGAAACUAAUCAUUUAAAUAUUCCGUGGUGGAAGUAUGUAAAACAUGUAAAAUUUAAUGUCUGAGUUGGCAACAUUGUACUGCUGCAUACAACCGCGGAUGUCCGAUAGUCUUAGCGGCCAUACUUCUACUCAUGCUGAAAGGAUUUUGGAUGCUCAUUUUUAGCACAAUUUGACAUCGACAGGCAUCGUAGCCACCUUUACAAAUACCAUCAAUGACUGUUUACAUGCGGCGUUUUUCUAUUUACAAUUAGGAGCCUCUCAGAGUGUAUCCCUGGAAUUUGAUGGUUUACCGCAGCUUCAUUAAGCUUAAGAAUGUUUUACUCUCAUAUAUGGACAUCUCUAAAAAAGUCCC
rnacentral:lncRNA from 1 species